rnacentral:rRNA from 1 species
GGAUGCGAUCAUACCAGCACUAAAGCGCCGGAUCCCAUCAGAACUCUGAAGUUAAGCGUGCUUGGGCGAGAGUAGUACUAGGAUGGGUGACCGCCUGGGAAGUCCUCGUGUUCCAUUCC